rnacentral:rRNA from 1 species
UACGUAGGCAGCGAGCGUUGUUCGGAGUUACUGGGCGUAAAGAGUGCGUAGGCGGUUUUCUAAGUUUGGUGUGAAAUCUCCCGGCUCAACUGGGAGGGUGCGCCGAAGACUGGAAGGCUUGAGUAUGGGAGAGGUAAGCGGAAUUCCUGGUGUAGCGGUGAAAUGCGUAGAUAUCAGGAGGAACACCUGCGGUGUAGACGGCUUACUGGACCAUAACUGACGCUGAGGCACGAAAGCGUGGGUAACAAACAGG